UUCUAGCCCUGAUUGCAGCGGCAUCCUUUUUAAGGGUUGCUGAGUGAUUUGCUCGCAGAGCAAAUCGUAUCGAAGCCCUAUUAAAAAGAUACAGCGUAAAGCAGGUAUCAGC
rnacentral:sRNA from 1 species